CCUACGGGUGGCAGCAGUGAGGAAUAUUGGUCAAUGGGCGCGAGCCUGAACCAGCCAAGUCGCGUGAGGGAAGACGGUCCUAUGGAUUGUAAACCUCUUUUGUCGGGGAGCAAAAGACGCCACGCGUGGCGUUCCGAGAGUACACCAAGAAAAAGCAUCGGCAAACACCGUGCCAGCAGCCGCGGUAAUACGGAGGAGGCGAGCGUUAUCCGGAUUUAUGGGGGGUAAAGGGUGUGCAGGCGGAAGAACAAGUGAGAGGUAAAAUUGAGGGGCUAAACCUCGUGGCGCCGUUGAAACUGGUUUGCUUGAGUGAGCGAGAGGUAUGCGGAAUGCGUGGUGUAGCGGUGAAAUGCAUAGAUAUUACGAAGAACUCCGAUGGCGAAGGCAGCAUACUGGCGCGCAACUGACGCUGAUGCACGAAAGUGUGGGGAUCGAACAGGAUUAGAUACCCUUGUAGUC
rnacentral:rRNA from 1 species